CUUUUUUUUCCCCCUAGAAGUCAACAAAAUAGCAAACAUUUGCUGGUUUUAUUUUCAUUAAUGCUUUAUAAACUGUUUAGUAACUGUUCUUUCCAAAAGAGGGAGAGGAGCGUGCACUUCUUCUUCAAAUGGAUAAACUCUAAAGGAGAUCUUGUAAAACUGAGUGAAAACUUGGACUACUGGACCAGCAGCUUUUCCACAAACACCUUUAAAGUCAGUCUGUUUGUCCCUUUGAAUGUUGUUCAGGAAAUCUGCAGCCCUCAAUGCCAAAAGCCCUAUUUUGCGGAACAAAUCAAUACAUGGGAUUUCUUCCUUAGGAGCUUGAGCAGUUGUUUUGAUGGGCUCCAACUGGCUCCUUGGAGGAGCACAAUCAGUUAUCUAAUCUCAUGAAAACAAAGCAGAGGAGUGAGCGCACGCCGUGUGUGGGGCCAUCUCUGGUGCUGGGCAGCGUCUUGACGUCUCGCAUGAAGCAUGGCUGGAAAAUACAACAGUUAUAAAAACAUCAACUGUUUUUAAAAGUUAACGGUAGGCUUUCAAAGGGAACAGUGCGUCAAACGCGAGGAUCAUAGAAUCACAGGGUGGUUUGGGUUGGAAGGGAUCUCAAAGCCCAUCCAGUUGCACCCCAUGCCAUGGGCAGGGACACCUCUCACUGGAUCCGGUUGCUCCAAGCCCGGUCCGACCUGGCCCUGAGCAGGUUUGGGUUCGUGCUGGAGAGCUCGUGCUCUCUGUCAUGUUCAUCUCACCCCCUCUGCUGGUUUAUUGCCUGCUAGAACUGCAGCCACAGCCAAGGCCACGUGCUGGUAGUGUGCGUUGUCUUCCUCCGCAACAAUAAUGGACUUGGAGUAUAGAGUUCUUUUGCUGAACACCAAAAUGCUAUGAGAAGACAGUGAUUCUGGCCAGGAGCAUCUGGACAAAGAGCAGCGCUCUCCAAAAUGUGCAGCACUUUUACUGGUGCAGUUUGCAGUCUGAGGUAACGGUGGUGGAGAUCUGUGGGACAGCCUGGCCUUGGUGCUUUUCCUUUACUCUGGAAUAUUGAGAUCUAAGUGACCUUUGCAAAAUUACUUGGAGGAUCCAAAUCCAGCCCCUAUUGAGGACAUACCCAGACCACUGAAGCUCUCAUCUAAGCUAAGUUGACAUUAAUUACUUUUCUUGUUAGCAAAUUCUGAAAUGAUGCCAUCUCGAGGGUGAAAUAGAGCAGCUAAUUAAUAGAACUUAAUUUACACAGUGUCAUUGUGAUACCUCCACUAAUACAUAAUCACAACAACAACAAUAUUAACAGUAAUAUUAAUCUUCUCUGUCACCCAGAAUGCUUUUCAAACCCUGCUAUGGCUGGAUUUGUCAGUUGUUCUGGCACAAAGAAAAACCAACAUGAAUUUUGUUAUUCUUAGACACGACUGAGUUUAUUGCUUUUUUGAGUACGCUCGCCUUCAACUUUUAAAAUCUGAAUUUUUCAUUUUAACUCCAAUUGAAUUUUAUGAUACAUUUAUGUACUUUUCAGCUAACUUUUAUACUUACAGGCAACCAAUUAUUAUACAGAGGAUCCCAGAGUUAAUAUUUUUGGGUUUGAAGCUUCAUUUUAUUUGAGACUAUAUAAAUAAAGUUCUCAUGAAGUAUUUAUACAUCCUAACCCAGCUUAGGGAAGAAUCAAAAGCAAUGGGUAAGCAAUGCAGAAUCAGACAUUAUUUGUGCCUUUACAUUUUAAAAACAGAGAAAUUGUUUUGAAAACUAUGCAAAUUUUUAGAUUGUUAAAGGAAACAAAAAGCUUAAUAAAACCAGGGCUCUUUCACUGAGAUUCUGCAUUUGUUAAUUCUUUUUUUCACAGUGAUCAGGCUUUGUUGGAGUGAUUUGUGUUGGAUUUGUACUUGUGACCAGCUCUGUGUGCAUAGAUAACCAUCGCAUACCCCUCUCCCAUAUAGGUGAUUGUAAAUGGCAAGGAGGCUGAAUGCCGUCACCGGGGACAGACAGUGCGAUCCUGGUGAGAUCCAGAGAGAUGCGACAAAAUAAACCAGCCUUGAUGUCCACUGACGUGCUCUUUCAGGCCUUCUGAGCUGCUUGCAGCUUGCAUUCCGCAGCCCCACAGAGGGACUGGAACAUGGCCUUUUGAAGGCACGGUUUCGAUAACGCUAUUAUGAUGCCUGCUGGUUUCCCUCUUUCAUCUGGAAGGAGUCAGUCUCUGGGUGAGGAGCUUCAGUGAUGCUCGCACUUCAGCCUCUCAGCAU